AAACCAUUCCUGACAACUAAGGGAGACCAGGGCUGGACGUCACACAUUUUCUACUCCAAAUAAAUUCCUCAAGGUUUUUGAUGGAUUGACAUCAAAUUUUACAUGGAUCAAGUAUUCGAGACAGGAGUGUAAUAAAAAUGAAGAUUGUAUAUGUCU
ensembl:lncRNA